ACGGGAGGCAGCAGUGAGGAAUAUUGGACAAUGGGCGGGAGCCUGAUCCAGCCAUGCCGCGUGCAGGAUGACGGCCCUAUGGGUUGUAAACUGCUUUUAUACGGGAAGAAACGCGCCCACGUGUGGGCGUUUGACGGUACCGUAAGAAUAAGGACCGGCUAACUCCGUGCCAGCAGCCGCGGUAAUACGGAGGGUCCGAGCGUUAUCCGGAAUCAUUGGGUUUAAAGGGUCCGUAGGCGGGCCUGUAAGUCAGGGGUGAAAGUUUGUGGCUCAACCAUAAAAUUGCCUUUGAUACUGCAGGUCUUGAGUCAUGGUGGGGUUGCCGGAACAUGUGGUGUAGCGGUGAAAUGCAUAGAUAUCACAUAGAACACCGAUCGCGAAGGCAGGUGACCAACCAUGUACUGACGCUGAUGGACGAAAGCGUGGGUAGCGAACGGGAUUAGAUACCCCGGUAGCCCACGCCGUAAACGAUGGAUACUAGCUGUGGGGUUUUCGGACUCCGUGGCCAAGCGAAAGUGAUAAGUAUCCCACCUGGGGAGUACGUUCGCAAGAAUGAAACUCAAAGGAAUUGACGG
rnacentral:rRNA from 1 species